UACGUAGGGGGCUAGCGUUGUCCGGAAUCAUUGGGCGUAAAGCGCGUGUAGGCGGCUCGGUAAGUCCGCUCUGAAAGUCCGGGGCUCAACCCCGGGAGGCGGGUGGAUACUGUCGAGCUAGAGUCCGGAAGAGGCGAGUGGAAUUCCUGGUGUAGCGGUGAAAUGCGCAGAUAUCAGGAGGAACACCAAUGGCGAAGGCAGCUCGCUGGGACGGUACUGACGCUGAGACGCGAAAGCGUGGGGAGCGAACAGG
rnacentral:rRNA from 1 species